AUGAUGGCCAGGCUGUCUCCACCCGAGACUCAGUGAAAUUGAACUCGCUGUGAAGAUGCAGUGUACCCGCGGCAAGACGGAAAGACCCCGUGAACCUUUACUAUAGCUUGACACUGAACAUUGAGCCUUGAUGUGUAGGAUAGGUGGGAGGCUUAGAAGUGUGGACGCCAGUCUGCAUGGAGCCGACCUUGAAAUACCACCCUUUAAUGUUUGAUGUUCUAACGUUGACCCGUAAUCCGGGUUGCGGACAGUGUCUGGUGGGUAGUUUGACUGGGGCGGUCUCCUCCUAAAGAGUAACGGAGGAGCACGAAGGUUGGCUAAUCCUGGUCGGACAUCAGGAGGUUAGUGCAAUGGCAUAAGCCAGCUUGACUGCGAGCGUGACGGCGCGAGCAGGUGCGAAAGCAGGUCAUAGUGAUCCGGUGGUUCUGAAUGGAAGGGCCAUCGCUCAACGGAUAAAAGGUACUCCGGGGAUAACAGGCUGAUACCGCCCAAGAGUUCAUAUCGACGGCGGUGUUUGGCACCUCGAUGUCGGCUCAUCACAUCCUGGGGCUGAAGUAGGUCCCAAGGGUAUGGCUGUUCGCCAUUUAAAGUGGUACGCGAGCUGGGUUUAGAACGUCGUGAGACAGUUCGGUCCCUAUCUGCCGUGGGCGCUGGAGAACUGAGGGGGGCUGCUCCUAGUACGAGAGGACCGGAGUGGACGCAUCACUGGUGUUCGGGUUGUCAUGCCAAUGGCACUGCCCGGUAGCUAAAUGCGGAAGAGAUAAGUGCUGAAAGCAUCUAAGCACGAAACUUGCC
rnacentral:rRNA from 1 species